rnacentral:rRNA from 1 species
UAGCAUAUCAAUAAGCGGAGGAAAAGAAACCAACAGGGAUUGCCCUAGUAACGGCGAGUGAAGCGGCAACAGCUCAAAUUUGAAAUCUGGCUACUUCGUAGUCCGAGUUGUAAUUUGUAGAGGAUGCUUUUGGUGAAGUGCUUUCUGAGUUCCCUGGAACGGGACGCCAGAGAGGGUGAGAGCCCCGUACAGUUAGCAACUGAUCCUUUGUAUAGCUCCUUCGACGAGUCGAGUAGUUUGGGAAUGCUGCUCUAAAUGGGAGGUAUAUCUCUUCUAAAGCUAAAUAUAGGCUAGAGACCGAUAGCGCACAAGUAGAGUGAUCGAAAGAUGAAAAGCACUUUGAAAAGAGAGUUAAACAGCACGUGAAAUUGUUGAAAGGGAAGCGCCUAUGACCAGACUUGUCUCUAUCAGUUUUGGUAGUUUUCGGACUGCUUUACUCUGUUAGUACAGGCCAACAUCAGUUUGUUGUCGGGGAGAAAGGCUUAGGGAAUGUGGCUCCUUCGGGAGUGUUAUAGCCCUUUGCAUAAUACCCUUCGGCAGACUGAGGACCGCGCUUCGGCAAGGAUGUUGGCGUAAUGGUCAUCAGCGACCCGUCUUGAAACACGGACCAAGGAGUCAACCUUAUAUGCGAGUGUUUGGGUGUAAAACCCCAGCGCGUAAUGAACGUGAACGUAGGUGAGAGCUUCGGCGCAUCAUCGACCGAUUCUGAUGUUCUCGGAUGGAUUUGAGUAAGAGCAUAUAGGGUUGGACCCGAAAGAAGGUGAACUAUGCUUGUAUAGGGUGAAGCCAGAGGAAACUCUGGUGGAGGCUCGCAGCGGUUCUGACGUGCAAAUCGAUCGUCAAAUAUGAGCAUGGGGGCGAAAGACUAAUCGAACCUUCUAGUAGCUGGUUCAGCAG